rnacentral:rRNA from 1 species
AGUCGAGCGCGAAAAGGGACUUCGGUCCCUGAGUAGAGCGGCGGACGGGUGAGUAUCACGUGGGCAACCUACCUCCGGGUGGGGAAUAACUUCGGGAAACCGGGGCUAAUUCCGCAUGAUAUUUCGGGGUCAUAAGAAUCCGAAAUCAAAGCUGGGGACCCUUCGGGGCCUGGCGCCUGGUGAGGGGCCCGCGGCCGAUUAGCUUGUUGGUGGGGUAAUGGCUCACCAAGGCUACGAUCGGUAGCCGGCCUGAGAGGGCGGACGGCCACACUGGGACUGAGACACGGCCCAGACUCCUACGGGAGGCAGCAGUGGGGAAUUUUUGUCAAUGGGGGAAACCCUGAACAAGCAACGCCGCGUGGAGGAUGAAGGCUUUCGGGUCGUAAACUCCUGUCGGAGGGGACGAAAGCGAUUGGGAUCAAUACCCCCAGUCGUUGACGGUACCCUAUGAGGAAGCCCCGGCUAACUCCGUGCCAGCAGCCGCGGUAAUACGGGGGGGGCAAGCGUUGUUCGGAAU